rnacentral:rRNA from 1 species
UACGAAGGGGGCUAGCGUUGCUCGGAAUCACUGGGCGUAAAGCGCACGUAGGCGGACCAUUAAGUCAGGGGUGAAAGCCUGAGGCUCAACCUCAGAACUGCCUUUGAUACUGAUGGUCUCGAGUUUGGAAGAGGUUGGUGGAACUGCGAGUGUAGAGGUGAAAUUCGUAGAUAUUCGCAAGAACACCAGUGGCGAAGGCGGCCAACUGGUCCAAUACUGACGCUGAGGUGCGAAAGCGUGGGGAGCAAACAGG